rnacentral:piRNA from 1 species
UAGCCUUAUCGUUUGGUGUGUUCCUGU